AGUGAACGCUGGCGGUAGGCCUAACACAUGCAAGUCGAACGGCAGCACAGUAAGAGCUUGUUCUUACGGGUGGCGAGUGGCGGACGGGUGAGGAAUACAUCGGAAUCUACUUUUUCGUGGGGGAUAACGUAGGGAAACUUACGCUAAUACCGCAUACGACCUACGGGUGAAAGCAGGGGAUCUUCGGACCUUGCGCGAUUGAAUGAGCCGAUGUCGGAUUAGCUAGUUGGCGGGGUAAAGGCCCACCAAGGCGACGAUCCGUAGCUGGUCUGAGAGGAUGAUCAGCCACACUGGAACUGAGACACGGUCCAGACUCCUACGGGAGGCAGCAGUGGGGAAUAUUGGACAAUGGGCGAAAGCCUGAUCCAGCCAUACCGCGUGGGUGAAGAAGGCCUUCGGGUUGUAAAGCCCUUUUGUUGGGAAAGAAAAGCAGCAGGUUAAUACCCCGCUGUUCUGACGGUACCCAAAGAAUAAGCCCCGGCUAACUUCGUG
rnacentral:rRNA from 1 species